rnacentral:rRNA from 1 species
GAUGAACGCUGGCGGCGUGCCUAAUACAUGCAAGUAGAACGCUGAAGCUUGGUGCUUGCACCGAGCGGAUGAGUUGCGAACGGGUGAGUAACGCGUAGGUAACAUGCCUCUUAGCGGGGGAUAACUAUUGGAAACGAUAGCUAAUACCGCAUAAAAGUCGAUAUCGCAUGAUAUUGAUUUGAAAGGUGCAAAUGCAUCACUAAGAGAUGGACCUGCGUUGUAUUAGCUAGUUGGUGAGGUAACGGCUCACCAAGGCGACGAUACAUAGCCGACCUGAGAGGGUGAUCGGCCACACUGGGACUGAGACACGGCCCAGACUCCUACGGGAGGCAGCAGUAGGGAAUCUUCGGCAAUGGGGGCAACCCUGACCGAGCAACGCCGCGUGAGUGAAGAAGGUUUUCGGAUCGUAAAGCUCUGUUGUAAGAGAAGAACGAGUGUGAGAGUGGAAAGUUCACACUGUGACGGUAACUUACCAGAAAGGGACGGCUAACUACGUG